UUAAAUAUAAAGAAAAGGAAUAGUAGAAAUCCUUCUUUUAUAGAGAGUGCAUGGAUGGUGGAAAUGCAUAAAGAACAUUAUCGAACUCACCUUGGAUGUAGCUUUACUGAAAUGAACAGUAAGUAAAGUCGUAACGCCUGCGUUAAAGGUAAGAAGAGUCUAUACGAUAAUGUGUAGAAAAUUUAGGUGGUACCACGAUUAUCGACUGAUCCAAUCGUCCUAUGA
rnacentral:ncRNA from 1 species